rnacentral:rRNA from 1 species
GAUGAACGCUGGCGGCGUGCCUAAUACAUGCAAGUCGAGCGAACAGACGAGGAGCUUGCUCCUCUGACGUUAGCGGCGGACGGGUGAGUAACACGUGGAUAACCUACCUAUAAGACUGGGAUAACUUCGGGAAACCGGAGCUAAUACCGGAUAAUAUAUUGAACCGCAUGGUUCAAUAGUGAAAGACGGUUUUGCUGUCACUUAUAGAUGGAUCCGCGCCGCAUUAGCUAGUUGGUAAGGUAACGGCUUACCAAGGCAACGAUGCGUAGCCGACCUGAGAGGGGGAUCGGCCACACUGGAACUGAGACACGGUCCAGACUCCUACGGGAGGCAGCAGUAGGGAAUCUUCCGCAAUGGGCGAAAGCCUGACGGAGCAACGCCGCGUGAGUGAUGAAGGUCUUCGGAUCGUAAAACUCUUUUAUUAGGGAAGAACAAAUGUGUAAGUAACUAUGCACGUCUUGACGGUACCUAAUCAGAAAGCCACGGCUAACUCCGUG